rnacentral:rRNA from 1 species
UUGGAAACUAGUAUGAACGGUUUAAUAGGUCUAAUUAGUUUGUUUUUUUAAUAGUAAGUUAAAGACAAAGUAAGAAUUCUUUGAUAAAUUAAGGGACGAUAAGACCCUAAAAGCUUUAUGAUUAGUUAGGAUUUAGUGGUACUAAUAGUAUUGUUUUACUGGGGCAGUGGUUUUAUUUAAAUUAAAAAAUUAGUUAAAGAUCCUUUAAAUAAAGAUUUAGUGGAAAAGUUACUUUAGGGAUAACAGUGCGAUAUAUUUGGGGAGACCAGAUCUAUAAAUAUGUUUGCAACCUCGAUGUUGAAUUAGAAUUUCUGUACGGGCAGAAUAUGUACAAGAAAGUUUGUUCAACUUUUAAAUUUCUACAUGAUCUGAGUUCAAACCGG